rnacentral:tRNA from 1 species
UGCCGCCGCUGGGGAGGCUGCCGUUCCAGGCCAGGUUGCGGACCUGGAUCCGGUCGCCGGACUGGCUCCACUCACCGUUCCAACCGUUGCUGAGGCGU